rnacentral:rRNA from 1 species
UUAAAUUGAAGAGUUUGAUCAUGGCUCAGAUUGAACGCUGGCGGCAGGCUUAACACAUGCAAGUCGAACGGUAACAUGAGUGCUUGCACUUGAUGACGAGUGGCGGACGGGUGAGUAAAGUAUGGGGAUCUGCCGAAUGGAGGGGGACAACAGUUGGAAACGACUGCUAAUACCGCAUAAUGUUGAGAGACCAAAGCAUGGGAC